GGGGACACGGAGUCCGGCAGGGGAAACACGCUAGGGGCACACUCGGGGGGGAGGUUGGGGGGAACACGUGGGGGAGAUACGCCAGGGGGACUGGGAGGUACAGCGGUUCAGCGGGGGUGGGGGACACGAGGCACCAGGGGACAGGGGACGCGGUAGGAGAACAAGGGGACACCCGGGGUGGGCGGCCUGGCUGGGGUCCAGAAACGGACGGGGCUGGAGGAUCCGGCGAGCUUGGAGCCAGAAGCACGUGGGGUGCGGGCUCAGCUAGAUUGUUUAUUGAUUAAUUGUGAGGCCAAGACAAAGGUGGCGUCCUGCGCACAUGCGCAGUCCUCUGACCCGAGGCUGCAGGUGUCCGGCUCCGAACGGUGAUGCAGCCUCCUUGCUAAGGUGGGAAAGCUCUAGCAGACCUCACAGGCCCGAUAUGCUGCCCACCUCCUGAGAAACGGGGAAGGAGCCUUCAAGCACUGCUUUUGAGAGCUGUGGAGAAGCAUCACUGGCCCACGGGAAGAAGCGUGUCCGCACCCCUCCCAGCGCAUGGAACGCAAGCCCAGCGCCGCCUCCUGGAAAACGCGUAGGAGAGAAGCCUCCCUCCGGGGUCAGGUCUCUCUGAACAAUUUGCCGCUGUCAUCGGUCACGACAUCACAUCAAAAUAUAGCCACACUCAGCCCAGCUCAGACCCUGAGCCCCCAGCCAAGCCCGCGUGUGUGUCCCACGGCUGCUGCAAGCAAAUACCAUAGACUGGCGUGCAGAGACAGCAAAACUUUAUUCCCUCGCCGUCCGGAGGCCAGAAGUCUGAGAUCAAGGUGUCGGCAUGGCUGGUUCCCUCUGGAGAUGCUUGGGAAGGAUUGUUCCCAGCCCCUCCCCCAGCUUCGGGGGUGGGGGUGGGGGGUUGUUGCUGGCAUCCUCGGGGACGCUUGUGGAGGCACCCCGCAACCUCUGCCUCCAUCUUCACGUGGGGUUGUCUGUGUGCAUAUUCUUCCCUCUGUGUCCAAAUGUCCCCUUUUUGUAAAGACACCAUAUUCCAGAUGACCUCAUCUUAACUAAGAACGUCUGCAAUGACCCUGUUUCCAAACAAGGCCACGUUGUGAGGAACCGGGGGUAAGACUCCUACAUACGAGUUGUGAGAGGACGCAGGUCAACCCAUCACAUCCAGUGACACCCGCCUUCACACUGGCAUCUAGAUGGAGGCCACACCCAGGCCUCCCUCCUUCCACCACGGAGAGGUACAGGACUCCGACGUGUAGAAGUGAUCAAGGCUGGGCGUUUAGACCUUCCGGCCCGGAGCUGAGUACGAGGAGCAUGCUGCCUGCUGAGAACGGGCUCCGCCCCCGGGCCCGGGCCCAGGCUGGACAGAUGCCCCCAGCCCCGCUGGGGCUCGCGGCCUCCUCC